rnacentral:lncRNA from 1 species
AGACAGAUAAUAAUUAUACCUAUAUUCAUCUACAUCGGAAGCUUAUCUUAAAUAGACUUUAUCACAAAGAUUAAAUAUUUUCAUAAAUCAAAGGUUGUCAUCAUUUUAUCAUUAAAUAACAAGUAGUUAGUCAUUUAAUAUUAAGUUUAAAUUCUAAACGAUCUUUAUUCUUAAGUUUAAAAAAGAAAUGAUUUCAGAUGGAUACACAAUCAUAAAGUCAUACAGAGUGUUUUACUAACAUUUGCACUUACCGGAAAACUUAUGGAAGAUCUUUUGGAAUAAAAUUAGGAUUUUUAAAAGUGACCAAGAGUAAUUGCUUGCUCUCCCGAUAUACAGAGUGCCUUUAAGAAAAAUGAACAUCAGGAAUGUUACCUUAGUCCAUUUAUUACAAUUAAUGGAAAAACACCAUAAAAGGAUUUACAUUUAUUUCCGCUUCAUAUACGUUGUAACUCUAUGUAGUUUCCGAAAUAGCAAUAACGAUAGACCAUCCAAUAUUCUGUGAAGAUUUGAAUGUUCAGUAAGUAUAUACAUGCAAUCCUCCUAUAUUCUUAGAAUCUUUCAGUUAAACAUUUCGAAUAUAUGUGACUCAUUAACUCAUUAGAAAAAGAUCUAAAAACCAUGUUUUCUGUAAUAUAAUAUUCACUUUCUACAUACACUUUGGAAAUAGGUAAAACUCACUCGGUACCAGAUCUAGUAAAUACGGUGCAUGGUCUACUAAUUAAAACUUUAAUUUUAAAACUUAAUUCUAGCCAUCAAAACGUAUGCGCUCGUGCAUUUACCUUGAUCAAAAAGACGUUACGAAAAUGACCAAUUUCUCGGGGUACUAACGCCUUUAAUUAUUCUGCAUUUUCUACCUUCAAUGUUAAAUGAAACACUCUUUAUAAAAAUUGUUACAAGAGAGACUAACCAAUUUUUAAACAUAACCAGCGUGAAAAAAUCUUCUAGUGAGGUAUCCGAGGUUACGCGAUAAUACUUAUAAUACUACCACAGGUAGAUAAAGCUCUUUGCGAAAUUCUCUGAAUCGGUUUAUUCCAAUCAGAGUCAUACUUAUCUUGAUAAUUUAUUAGAUAUAUCCGAGUUUUUCUUUAAACCUUUUGAGAUGUUUUCCUUUAUAUAUUAGCAAAAUAGCAAACCUGAACUUUUUUAAACCGGGUAAAAUAAUAAUGACAGUAUACAGAAGAGAUGAGUAUUUGUAAUCGGUCAAGAAAUUCAAAGGUUCUUGAUGAAUUGGUGGCCGCACUGCUUUCUACAUGCUUGUAAUGUAAUGAUAAUAGGUUUCUGCCACGUGGCUUGCACAAAAUUAUAACCUAACAUUUGCUAUGCUUAACUGUUUAUUAAGUGGAUAGAACUUAUACAGGUUGCUCUAAAGUAUUUGGUGAGGUAAAUCACCCACUACAUUUAAGCAAACUAUUUGCAAUUAUUAAAGUAUUUCGAUUACAGGUGGCUGAUUAUCUGUUUUCCUAUGAAUUGUCUGAUGCAUUCACCAAUUUUCGAAAUUAACACAUGCAAUAAUAAAUUAUCAUUGGUUUGCUAUGGCGUGCCUAGUGCCUAGAAUAAACAUGAGUGACAAUUUUAAAACUUCCCAGGGCCAUAUCUUAGGAAAUAAAACAUUUAAAAAAAAGUAUAUACUGUAGCGGAACGACCUCUAUCUUUGCUAUAGUUUGUUCUAUUAGAAAAUCGGGCGUCUUAAAUAUUUUCUUUAUUUGUGGAAAUGUAUGACAUUCUUUAAAGCCUACAUUUCUGCUCGGAGUAGUCUUAUGAUUAUUCCUUCGUUUGUCACCAUUUGAUAAAGAAGUGUGGCGCCUUUGACUCCGUGAUGUCGUUAAAAGGUUUUAAUCCGGGUUAGUGCCUUUAUUAUUAAAAGGUAAGGUUACAACUGUCCUGUUCUUGGCUAGCAAUUUAUAUUAUCUAUUUUAUUAUUAAAAGGUGUUAAAACUAAACCCGAAACUGAGGUGAAUAAACGGAGAUUUCCCGACACUAGUGGUUUCUUUGACCUACGAACCCCCGGGACUAAAAAUCCCAUUACAACUUGGCUGCCCAACUGGGACAAAGAAUCCACAUCUAUGGGUAAUCCACGACCUCCAGUAGUUCAUUCACCGAGGAACUUAAGAUCUCGAAGACCAUCAAACAUGGAUGGAUCUAGGAGCUUUUUAAUCGAAGAGAGGAAUACGACAGGACCAUUACCGACAGUCGGGGGCGAGUCCAGAAGGCAACGCAUCUACGGGGGCAGGCCAAAUAAACACCUCUACGAGAGCGAGUGCUGAAACGGGCGCAAUCCAUAGAAAUAAUGGACAAACAGCCGCAGCAAGAGGGUUGCCGCCAUACCUGGAACCCCCAGGAACACCGAUAAUAGCGUCUGCUACAGGUAACCCCUCUCCAAACUAUUAUCAGGAAUUUAACAGCGAUUUUUAUCAACGAUGGGUCCAGCUACUAAUCAAUGCAAUUUUAUUUACCAACCACCGUUACAAAAUAUCCAUAACAUAUUAAAUUCAGAUAUUUUUAGUAGUGUAGGAAAUUUUGAC